rnacentral:piRNA from 1 species
UUCUAAUUGUUACGCAUUAUA